CCUACGUGUGGCAGCAGUGAGGAAUAUUGGUCAAUGGGCGGGAGCCUGAACCAGCCAAGUCGCGUGAGGGACGACGGUCCUAUGGAUUGUAAACCUCUUUUGUCGGGGAACAACGUCGCCCACGGGUGGGCGUAUGAGUGUCCCCGAAGAAAAAGCAUCGGCUAACUCCGUGCCAGCAGCCGCGGUAAUACGGAGGAUUCGAGCGUUAUCCGGAUUUAUUGGGUUUAAAGGGUGCGUAGGCGGACAGUCAAUUCAGCGGUAAAAAUGCGGUGCUCCACGCCUGACAGCCGUUGAAACUGGAAGUCUUGAGUGGGCGAGAAGGAUGCGGAAGGCGUGGUGUAGCGGUGAAAUGCAUAGAUAUAACGCAGAACGCCGAUUGCGAAGGCAGCAUACCGGCGCCCGACUGACGCUGAGGCACGAAAGCGUGGGUAUCGAACAGGAUUAGAUACCCGUGUAGUC
rnacentral:rRNA from 1 species